AGUCAGUUCAGGCUGGGCCAGGGCAGUCCCCAGCCAGAUCCCUCACAGGGCAGGCAGCAAGCCCACGGCUUGCACCGCAUCCUUCUCCAAAAGAUAUGGUGAGAAUUGGUGUGCACACGCUUUACAGGGGGUUCUGUCCUUUUUGUGCUGGUACAGAGAGGUAUGUGAGUUGUAUUAACACAGAAAUAUUUUGAAUGCUGUAUAGAAUGCCUGAACAUCAUGUGGAAAAUCCAUGGAGAGGAAGGCAGAUGUUAUUAAUGAUGAAGGAACUAUGUAGCUUGCAAGCAGUCAUAUAUCCACUCAAAACAUUUUUUCCUAGUGUUUAUUAGGAAGUGCAAAGCAGUGUUUGCCCUCAUAGUCAUCAGGUGAUAAAAAACCCUGUGUGGAAGCACUCAGGCACUUUACAGCUCUGGCUGUAGGCUGCUCACCAGAAGCUGGGUACAGCUGGCAAAGGCUGAGUGUUGUAUGAACUGCAGGUGAAGCAAAGCUUCAAGCAUAUCAAGGUGGAUGGCUCGUGUAGUUGUUGGCCACCAGUUAACAAAAUACUUAAGUUCAAAGCAACAGGAGUGGCUAAAAUCAUCAUCAAGAGAGUAGUUGUUGUUUUCAGGCAAUAAUUAAUUCCUUCAUGAGUGUCUGAUGCCUUUUAAAAUACUGUUUGCUUUUUGUUUGUUUGUUUGUUUGUGGGGGGGACAAAAAGAAACAAAUGAACAACAACAAAAACAGGAAUUGACACUCAUGAAAUGCUCAGUCUUCAUUUCCAUUGUGGGAUGAAUUUUCAAAUGAGCAUCUUCUCCUUGACUCUCACACUUAGAAUCAUUGAAUCGUUUAAGCUGGAAAAGACCUUCAAGAUCAAGUGCAAACAUCAGACUUCCAGUUACUAAUUUGCCAAAAACAUUGGAAUUCAGCUACUGCUUGGGAGAAGAGACUGACCACCACCUUGCUAUAGCCUCCUUUAAGGCCAUUGAUUGGGACGGUCCACCCAGCACGUGCUACAUGUGCUUUGUGGUCCUCUUACCAGAGAACAACUUGCAGCAGGAUGCAGGAGGGAAGGAUUGACCUGGAAAUGCCAUCCCCCUGCUUGGCUGAUGUCUUUGUGAGUCCCUCAAGUCUCUUUCCCUUCACCUGUUCUUCAGGACUCUAGAUUUACUAAACAUUUGCUGAAUGCAAGAUUAAUAUCUGUUCUGUCCCUUAAAAGAGCAAAAGAUCUGCUUCAUGGUUUACCAUGCGCACACCCAGGUAACUCUCCUGGAAGCAAAAAAAAAUGUAAACUGUCUCCCUGAGCAGGAUGAGUGGAUAUAGGAUGUCUACAGCCAGAAUAAAAAUGUCUCCAGAGCUCACAGUUUCAAAGAAAGCCUGAAGGUGUCUAUGACAAUUAAGAAAUAGUAUAACAUAGGCAUUAAUCUGAGUUAACAGUCCUUAAAAUUGCGAAGUAAUUACUUCACAACUGUGCCUUUUGUGUUUGUUUGUUUGAUUUGUUUUCUUAGCAUGCAAUAAGCAAUAUGCAAACUUGCUAACAUCAUUUGAAGGAGACUGUAGAUCUUGAAAUUUGUAGCGAAAAAAAUUAUUAAUAAACAUUAAUCAUCACUACAAGAGAUGACACAUUUUACUUGUUCACAUAGAAUAUCAUGUGUAUGUGUCUAUAGAAGUGUUGCAAUUCUUUAUAUGCUUUCUGCCUUUGAAAUGACAUUAAAUGAUAUGGUAGCAUACAGAUGAUAAGUUAUCCAAAAUAAAGUAAAUGCAUACCAACAUGCUCAAAACUCUGAGAAAAAAAAAAAAAAAAAAAAAAAAAAAAA